UACGAAGGGGGCUAGCGUUGCUCGGAAUCACUGGGCGUAAAGGGUGCGUAGGCGGCCUUGUAAGUCAGUGGUGAAAGCCCAUAGCUCAACUAUGGAACUGCCAUUGAUACUGCAAGGCUUGAGUACAGACGAGGUUGGCGGAAUGGAUGGUGUAGCGGUGAAAUGCAUAGAUACCAUCCAGAACUCCGAUUGCGUAGGCAGCUAACUAGGCUGUAACUGACGCUGAGGCACGAAAGCGUGGGGAGCAAACAGG
rnacentral:rRNA from 1 species